AUUGAACGCUGGCGGCAUGCCUUACACAUGCAAGUCGAACGGAUUGAAGGGGCUUGCUCCUUCAGUUAGUGGCGAACGGGUGAGUAAAGCAUCGGAACGUACCCAGUCGUGGGGGAUAACGUAGCGAAAGUUACGCUAAUACCGCAUACGAUCUGAGGAUGAAAGCGGGGGAUCGCAAGACCUCGCGCGAUUGGAGCGGCCGAUGUCGGAUUAGCUAGUUGGUGAGGUAAAGGCUCACCAAGGCGACGAUCCGUAGCUGGUCUGAGAGGAUGAUCAGCCACACUGGAACUGAGACACGGGCCAGACUCCUACGGGAGGCAGCAGUGGGGAAUUUUGGACAAUGGGGGAAACCCUGAUCCAGCCAUGCCGCGUGAGUGAAGAAGGCCUUCGGGUUGUAAAGCUCUUUCAGUCGGAAAGAAAAGGCUCCGGAUAAUACCUGGAGUUGAUGACGGUACCGACAGAAGAAGCACCGGCUAACUACGUGCCAGCAGCCGCGGUAA
rnacentral:rRNA from 1 species